UAAAAAAAAUUCUGAUAAAAAUCCUAAUUAUUACCACAUAUGGAAGUGGUACAGAUCAGAUUUUUGUGGGGGAGGGGGUGAAAAGCUUGGAAUUGGGCCAUUCACACUGCCAUGAAAAAGACAUAUGGGUCGUGUAUGGUUAAAAACUUCGGGUUUGGGUCGUAUUUCCUUGCAGUGUAAAUGUAGCUGUGAAGUUUAAAACAAGGGAAAAAAAAAAAAAAAAAAAAAAUUCAGCAAGCCGGAACUGGUUGCUGGAUGAGGCGGGACCUUGUGUUUCACACGGACCAUAAAAGGCGACGCACAUCCACUGCACUGGCAACUAAACAAGAAAACUGAAGUAAGUGACUGGCUGGCAUCAUUUAAAAGCAGUCUUUGUAAAAAGCCUGUGCAGAGACCUGGGAGACGAUUACAACCAAGCAGAGUGGCAGCCGGUUUUUUACCUGCAUCGAGACCAAUUGUUUUGAUCACCUGUCUUCAAGAUAAUCAAAAAUAAAGAGAAGAAGAAAAAGGGAA